rnacentral:rRNA from 1 species
AUUGAACGCUGGCGGCAGGCCUAACACAUGCAAGUCGAGCGGUUGAAGGGAGCUUGCUCCUGGAUUCAGCGGCGGACGGGUGAGUAAUGCCUAGGAAUCUGCCUGGUAGUGGGGGAUAACGUCCGGAAACGGGCGCUAAUACCGCAUACGUCCUGAGGGAGAAAGUGGGGGAUCUUCGGACCUCACGCUAUCAGAUGAGCCUAGGUCGGAUUAGCUAGUUGGUGGGGUAAAGGCCUACCAAGGCGACGAUCCGUAACUGGUCUGAGAGGAUGAUCAGUCACACUGGAACUGAGACACGGUCCAGACUCCUAAGGGAGGCAGCAGUGGGGAAUAUUGGACAAUGGGCGAAAGCCUGAUCCAGCCAUGCCGCGUGUGUGAAGAAGGUCUUCGGAUUGUAAAGCACUUUAAGUUGGGAGGAAGGGCAGUAAGUUAAUACCUUGCUGUUUUGACGUUACCAACAGAAUAAGCACCGGCUAACUUCGUG